GUAGCCGACCUGAGAGGGUGAUCGGCCACACUGGGACUGAGACACGGCCCAGACUCCUACGGGAGGCAGCAGUAGGGAAUCUUCCGCAAUGGACGAAAGUCUGACGGAGCAACGCCGCGUGAGUGAUGAAGGUUUUCGGAUCGUAAAGCUCUGUUGUUAGGGAAGAACAAGUGCAAGAGUAACUGCUUGCACCUUGACGGUACCUAACCAGAAAGCCACGGCUAACUACGUGCCAGCAGCCGCGGUAAUACGUAGGUGGCNAGCGUUGUCCGGAAUUAUUGGGCGUAAAGGGCUCGCAGGCGGUUUCUUAAGUCUGAUGUGAAAGCCCCCGGCUCAACCGGGGAGGGUCAUUGGAAACUGGGAAACUUGAGUGCAGAAGAGGAGAGUGGAAUUCCACGUGUAGCGGUGAAAUGCGUAGAGAUGUGGAGGAACACCAGUGGCGAAGGCGACUCUCUGGUCUGUAACUGACGCUGAGGAGCGAAAGCGUGGGGAGCGAACAGGAUUAGAUACCCUGGUAGUCCACGCCGUAAACGAUGAGUGCUAAGUGUUAGGGGGUUUCCGCCCCUUAGUGCUGCAGCUAACGCAUUAAGCACUCCGCCUGGGGAGUACGGUCGCAAGACUGAAACUCAAAGGAAUUGACGGGGGCCCGCACAAGCGGUGGAGCAUGUGGUUUAAUUNGAAGCAACGCGAAGAACCUUACCAGGUCUUGACAUCCUCUGACAACCCUAGAGAUAGGGCUUUCCCUUCGGGGACAGAGUGAC
rnacentral:rRNA from 1 species